rnacentral:rRNA from 1 species
UACGUAGGGGGCAAGCGUUGUCCGGAAUCAUUGGGCGUAAAGAGCGCGUAGGCGGUCCGGUAAGUCCGCUGUGAAAGUCAAGGGCUCAACCCUUGAAUGCCGGUGGAUACUGUCGGGCUAGAGUCCGGAAGAGGCGAGUGGAACUCCGAGUAUAGAGGUGAAAUUCGUAGAUAUUCGGAAGAACACCAGUGGCGAAGGCGGCUCACUGGUCCGGUACUGACGCUGAGGUGCGAAAGCGUGGGGAGCAAACAGG